CCUACGGGUGGCAGCAGUCGAGAAUCAUGCACAAUGGGGGAAACCCUGAUGCUGCGACGCCGCGUGAGUGAAUGAAGUUCUUCGGAUUGUAAACCCCUGUCAUGUGGGAGCAAAUUACGACGGUAGUACCACACCAGGCAGCGCCGGCUAACGAUGUGCCAGCAGCCGCGGUACUACAGAGGUCUCAAGCGUUGUUAGUCAUCACUCGUCGUAAGGCGUGCGUAGGUUGUGUCGUAAGUCGGGUGUGAAAGGCGCGGGCUCAACCCGCGGACGGCACAUGCUACUGGGAGACGAGAGUGAAGGAGGGGGAAGCGGAAUUCUCGGUGUAGCAGUGAAAUGCGUAGAUAUCGAGAGGAACACUCGGGGCGAAGGCGGGUUCCUGGACAGUAACUGACGCUGAGGCACGAAGGCGAGGGGAGCGAACGGGAUUAGAUACCCCUGUAGUC
rnacentral:rRNA from 1 species